GUCAGUGUGGUAUAGUGGUUUGAACAUUGGACUACAACUCUAGAGGUCAGGGUUUGAUCCCCUGCUUGGCCA